CAUUAGCUAGUUGGUGAGGUAACGGCUCACCAAGGCGACGAUGCGUAGCCGAACUGANAGGGUGAUCGGCCACACUGGGACUGAAACACGGCCCAAACUCCUACGGGAGGCAGCAGUAGGGAAUCUUCCGCAAUGGACGAAAGUCUGACGGAGCAACGCCGCGUGAGUGAUGAAGGUUUUCGGAUCGUAUAGCUCUGUUGUUAGGGAAGAACAAGUGCAAGAGUAACUGCUUGCACCAUGACGGUACCUAACCAGAAAGCCACGGCUAACUACGUGCCAGCAGCCGCGGUAAUACGUAGGUGGCAAGCGUUGUCCGGAAUUAUUGGGCGUAAAGGGCUCGCAGGCGGUUUCUUAAGUCUGAUGUGAAAGCCCCCGGCUCAACCGGGGAGGGUCAUUGGAAACUGGGAAACUUGAGUGCAGAAGAGGAGAGUGGAAAUUCCACGUGUAGCGGUGAAAUGCGUAGAGAUGUGGAGGAACACCAGUGGCGAAGGCGACUCUCUGGUCUGUAACUGACGCUGAGGAGCGAAAGCGUGGGGAGCGAACAGGAUUAGAUACCCUGGUAGUCCACGCCGUAAACGAUGAGUGCUAAGUGUUAGGGGGUUUCCGCCCCUUAGUGCUGCAGCUAACGCAUUAAGCACUCCGCCUGGGGAGUACGGUCGCAAGAUUGAAACUCAAAGGAAUUGACGGGGGCCCGCACAAGCGGUGGAGCAUGUGGUUUAAUUCGAAGCAACGCGAAGAACCUUACCAGGUCUUGACAUCCUCUGACAACCCUAGAGAUAGGGCUUUCCCUUCGGGGACAGAGUGACAGGUGGUGCAUGGUUGUCGUCAGCUCGUGUCGUGAGAUGUUGGGUUAAGUCCCGCAACGAGCGCAACCCUUGAUCUUAGUUGCCAGCAUUCAGUUGGGCAAUUUAAGGUGACUGCCGGUGACAAACCGGAGGAAGGUGGGGAUGACGUCAAAUCAUCAUGCCCCUUAUGACCUGGGCUACACACGUG
rnacentral:rRNA from 1 species